rnacentral:rRNA from 1 species
CAGAGGUGGCAAGCGUUGUUCGGAAUUACUGGGCGUAAAGGGCGAGUAGGUGGCCAUCUAAGUCAGACGUGAAAUCCCCCGGCUUAACCUGGGAACUGCGUCUGAUACUGGACGGCUUGAGUAUGGGAGAGGGAUGCAGAAUUCCAGGUGUAGCGGUGAAAUGCGUAGAUAUCUGGAGGAAUACCGGUGGCGAAGGCGGCAUCCUGGACCAUAACUGACACUGAAUCGCGAAAGCUAGGGGAGCAAACGGGAUUAGAUACCCCGGUAGUCCUAGCCCUAAACGAUGAAUGCUUGGUGUGGCGGGUAUCGAUCCCUGCCGUGCCGAAGCUAACGCAUUAAGCAUUCCGCCUGGGGAGUACGGUCGCAAGGCUG